rnacentral:lncRNA from 11 species
GACGAUUGUUGCAUUUCUUGACACGUGUUUUUAUAGCACAUUAUAUAGAUAGGGCCACUCUUUGCAAUCAUUUUUAUUGUCUUUCUUUUAAUUCUAUUUGGUGCUUUUGUUUAUUUUUUACAUGGAGCUAUAUCACAUAAUAAAAAGUCAUAUAAAAUCUAAAAUACUAAAUGGACACUUCUACACACACUUCCUGAAGCAAAAACAUAGAAGCUAUGAUCCCAUUGUCGUCGCUUUCAUUUCUUGCAUUUUUUUCUCUCUUUUUACCUUCUUUGUCUGAUAAAGAAUCCUGUAGGCUUCAAGGUGAGCAUGAUGAAUACUUUAGCCUGGAGAAGAGAAGGUUAAGAGUCUUAGGGCCUAAUUGCAAGAGAAAGCUAAAUUGGAACUGCAUCAAGCGAUCACCUUGGAAACUGCAUUCAAGAACAUGGUUCCGAACCAAUGGGUGUGGAUGGCUGACCACUGAUCUCAUGCAUUUCAUCUUGGCUCCCCCUGUACUGAUAAGAAGGAAUAUGGUCUACAUUUCAUAAAGAUUUCCUGGAAACAGAGAUCAAGAAGCCGAAGAAAUGGUUCCUCCGGCAGGAUGGAGAAUCUACCAGAGACCAAUAUUUUCUCAUUAAUUUAUAGAGAGACCUGCAUGUGACUAUUCCUGUUAAUUAAAAUCUGUGGUGAACAAAGCGAGGUAACUGGGCUUUGGGCCAAACCUUUCCAUGGAGAUGAGGAAAUGAGCCCGCAAAAGCCAUGGAUGACCUCCAACCUAAGGAACAUUUAAUUGCAAAUUCACACCUCCCUCCCUGCUCCCAUCAAACCUUCCAAAUAUUAAGUCACACAUUCUGCGAACAAAUAUUCUAAACUUUGCUUGCCUUAGGAGACACACUUCCCAAACUACCCAUUAUGUCUUCUGAGAUUAUAAAGAGAGCUUCAAAUCCUCUAGUCAAGAACAUGAGCCUAC